rnacentral:rRNA from 1 species
AGAGUUUGAUCCUGGCUCAGGAUGAACGCUAGCUACAGGCUUAACACAUGCAAGUCGAGGGGCAGCAUAAUCGAAGCUUGCUUUGAUUGAUGGCGACCGGCGCACGGGUGAGUAACGCGUAUCCAACCUUCCCCUUAGUAGGGCAUAGCCCGGCGAAAGUCGGAUUAAUACCCUAUGUUGUCCUAUGAGGACAUCUGAGCAGGACUAAAGGUUUACCGCUAAGGGAUGGGGAUGCGUCUGAUUAGCUUGUUGGCGGGGUAACGGCCCACCAAGGCAACGAUCAGUAGGGGUUCUGAGAGGAAGGUCCCCCACAUUGGUACUGAGACACGGACCAAACUCCUACGGGAGGCAGCAGUGAGGAAUAUUGGUCAAUGGGCGAGAGCCUGAACCAGCCAAGUAGCGUGCAGGAUGACUGCCCUAUGGGUUGUAAACUGCUUUUAUAGGGGAAUAAAGUGGCGUACGUGUACGUUUUUGUAUGUACCCUAUGAAUAAGGACCGGCUAAUUCCGUGCCAGCAGCCGCGGUAAUACGGAAGGUCCGGGCGUUAUCCGGAUUUAUUGGGUUUAAAGGGAGCGCAGGCGGCAGGUUAAGCGUGUUGUGAAAUGUACCGGCUCAACCGGUGAUGUGCAGCGCGAACUGGCUUGCUUGAGUGAGUACGACGGAGGCGGAAUUCGUGGUGUAGCGGUGAAAUGCUUAGAUAUCACGAAGAACCCCGAUUGCGAAGGCAGCCUCCGAGUCCUUAACUGACGCUAAUGCUCGAAAGUGCGGGUAUCGAACAGGAUUAGAUACCCUGGUAGUCCGCACGGUAAACGAUGGAUGCCCGCUGUUGGCGAUAUAGUGUCAGCGGCCAAGCGAAAGCGUUAAGCAUCCCACCUGGGGAGUACGCCGGCAACGGUGAAACUCAAAGGAAUUGACGGGGGCCCGCACAAGCGGAGGAACAUGUGGUUUAAUUCGAUGAUACGCGAGGAACCUUACCCGGGCUUGAACUGCAGCGGAAGGAUACAGAGAUGUUGACGUCUUCGGGACCGCUGUGGAGGUGCUGCAUGGUUGUCGUCAGCUCGUGCC